CAAGUCGAACGCUUUUUCUUUCACCGGAGCUUGCUCCACCGAAAGAAAAGGAGUGGCGAACGGGUGAGUAACACGUGGGUAACCUGCCCAUCAGAAGGGGAUAACACUUGGAAACAGGUGCUAAUACCGUAUAACAAUCGAAACCGCAUGGUUUCGGUUUGAAAGGCGCUUUUGCGUCACUGAUGGAUGGACCCGCGGUGCAUUAGCUAGUUGGUGAGGUAACGGCUCACCAAGGCAACGAUGCAUAGCCGACCUGAGAGGGUGAUCGGCCACAUUGGGACUGAGACACGGCCCAAACUCCUACGGGAGGCAGCAGUAGGGAAUCUUCGGCAAUGGACGAAAGUCUGACCGAGCAACGCCGCGUGAGUGAAGAAGGUUUUCGGAUCGUAAAACUCUGUUGUUAGAGAAGAACAAGGAUGAGAGUAAAAUGUUCAUCCCUUGACGGUAUCUAACCAGAAAGCCACGGCUAACUACGUGCCAGCAGCCGCGGUAAUACGUAGGUGGCAAGCGUUGUCCGGAUUUAUUGGGCGUAAAGCGAGCGCAGGCGGUUUCUUAAGUCUGAUGUGAAAGCCCCCGGCUCAACCGGGGAGGGUCAUUGGAAACUGGGAGACUUGAGUGCAGAAGAGGAGAGUGGAAUUCCAUGUGUAGCGGUGAAAUGCGUAGAUAUAUGGAGGAACACCA
rnacentral:rRNA from 1 species